rnacentral:rRNA from 1 species
GAUGAACGCUGGCGGCGUGCCUAAUACAUGCAAGUCGAGCGAACGGACGAGAAGCUUGCUUCUCUGAUGUUAGCGGCGGACGGGUGAGUAACACGUGGAUAGCCUACCUAUAAGACUGGGAUAACUUCGGGAAACCGGAGCUAAUACCGGAUAAUAUUUUGAACCGCAUGGUUCAAAAGUGAAAGACGGUCUUGCUGUCACUUAUAGAUGGAUCCGCGCUGCAUUAGCUAGUUGGUAAGGUAACGGCUUACCAAGGCAACGAUGCAUAGCCUACCUGAGAGGGUGAUCGGCCACACUGGAACUGAGACACGGUCCAGACUCCUACGGGAGGCAGCAGUAGGGAAUCUUCCGCAAUGGGCGAAAGCCUGACGGAGCAACGCCGCGUGAGUGAUGAAGGUCUUCGGAUCGUAAAACUCUGUUAUUAGGGAAGAACAUAUGUGUAAGUAACUGUGCACAUCUUGACGGUACCUAAUCAGAAAGCCACGGCUAACUACGUG